GACGAACGCUGGCGGCGUGCUUAACACAUGCCAGUCGAACGGAAAGGCCCUGCUUUUGUGGGGUGCUCGAGUGGCGAACGGGUGAGUAACACGUGAGUAACCUGCCCUUGACUUUGGGAUAACUUCAGGAAACUGGGGCUAAUACCGGAUAGGAGCUCCUGCUGCAUGGUGGGGGUUGGAAAGUUUCGGCGGUUGGGGAUGGACUCGCGGCUUAUCAGCUUGUUGGUGGGGUAGUGGCUUACCAAGGCUUUGACGGGUAGCCGGCCUGAGAGGGUGACCGGCACAAUUGGACUGAGAUACGGCCCAGACUCCUACGGGAGGCAGCAGUGGGGAAUAUUGCACAAUGGGCGGAAGCCUGAUGCAGCAACGCCGCGUGCGGGAUGACGGCCUUCGGGUUGUAAACCGCUUUCGCCUGUGACGAAGCGUGAGUGACGGUAAUGGGUAAAGAAGCACCGGCUAACUACGUG
rnacentral:rRNA from 1 species